rnacentral:tmRNA from 1 species
GGAUUUGGUUGUAGAUCAAUGUUAGAGUUUGUUCGGGUACGGGUAGCGUUAAACGGCAAGAAACAACCAACCUACGCUGUAGCAGCCUAAGAAGCUGCUCACGUGCUCCUACCUUCCAUUGCCCAUGUGGCGGGAUAGGGGCUCAACUUUAGUGGGAUACGCUGUCUAGUCUCCGCCUGGGGCUAGCUGAAGAAGACAAUCAGGCUGACCCGAAGGGAAUCCGGUGACAGGGAGUCUCUAGGGUGACAUCAAAUCUGUUACUACACCCGUAGAAGCUUAUGUUGCGUUAUCUUCGGACAGGGGUUCGACUCCCCUCGGCUCCACCA